rnacentral:rRNA from 1 species
GACGAACCGUGCGAACGUUGUUCAGAAUCACUGGGCUUAAAGGGCGCGUAGGCGGACCCCCAAGUCCGGGGUGAAAUCCUCCGGCUUAACCGGAGAAUUGCCUGGGAUACUGGGGGUCUUGAGGGAGGUAGGGGCACGCGGAACUUCCGGUGGAGCGGUGAAAUGCGUUGAUAUCGGAAGGAACGCCGGUGGCGAAAGCGGCGUGCUGGCCCUCUUCUGACGCUGAGGCGCGAAAGCCAGGGGAGCGAACGGG